GGAGUCUUUGGCAGAUCAGAGAAUAAGUUUUGAUAGAAGAUUGAAUAGGAUUUCUAUGAGUGUUGAUUUAGGAUAAUUUGGAGUUGAUAUGACUUUGUAAGAGCUUUGCAAAGUCAAGGUUUGUUUUGGAUGAUUUGGAUUUUAUGAAAUAAAAUAAGGUUUAUAUUUUGGGUAAUUUCAAGAGUUUUGUUAUAGAUCUACAGGUGAAAUUUUGUGGAUUUAUGGUUAUAGUUGUGUUUAAUAUGUGUCAUGAAUUUGAACUCA
rnacentral:lncRNA from 1 species